UACAGAGGGGGCAAGCGUUGUUCGGAAUUACUGGGCGUAAAGGGCGCGUAGGCGGCCCGCUAAGUCGAACGUGAAAUCCCCGGGCUCAACCCGGGAACUGCGUCCGAUACUGGAAGGCUUGAAUCCGGGAGAGGGAUGUGGAAUUCCAGGUGUAGCGGUGAAAUGCGUAGAUAUCUGGAGGAACACCGGUGGCGAAGGCGGCAUCCUGGACCGACACUGACGCUGAGGAGCGAAAGCCAGGGGAGCAAACGGG
rnacentral:rRNA from 1 species